rnacentral:lncRNA from 1 species
UUUUACUUUAAUGAAACAACAACAACCCGACCGUCAACAGUUCUGUCAGGUACAAGGAACAAAACAGAAAACAACUACCCAUAAACCACAGGGGGAAAAAAAAACACCCCUACUAAAUAUGACCUUCAAUUAGAGGCAAUGAGGAACAGCUGCCUCCAAUUGAAGGUCAACCCAAUAAACCUCAACAUAGAAAUAGAGAACAUAGAACAAACACAAAAACACUCCCCUGUCACGCCCUGACCACUCGACCAUAGAAAAUAACAACUUAUAUCGGUCAGGACGUGACAUGGAAAUACAUCUCAAAUAUUGCAUUUAAAGAUGAAGAACUCUAAUUCAGUGAUUGUCUCAGAAAAAAGUGAAAAUAUGCCUUCAUUUGCAAUAACUUUAAAUAAAAUGUUCAUUUCAAGUGCAAUUUGUUCUAUAUGAAGUUAGACAAUGUUUACAUAAACAUAAAACAGGGUUAUGUUUAUUUACAUGUAAAUUACAGUUCUGGAAUACCCAAAUUCUGUUACAUGCUUUUGCAAUUAGGAACGUUUUUUUUAAUUGGAUUUUUUGUUCAAUUAUUAAAUUGACUUUAAAUGACCUUCAUAUGACCCUGACAGAAGCACACAUAACUGAGGUGUUAAUCAUCGUUGAGUAUUCAGGCAAUAUAAAUCAUACAGUAAUAAAGGUAUACAUUAGCAAAAAAAUAGUAUAUCUCUAGUAUCUCUCACAGUAGAAUAAUAGAGUCAUGAUAAUAGAACAUCAGAGCAAUAACUAGGGUUGCAAAGGGAUGGAAUUUUUCAGGGAAUUUUUCAUGGGAAGUUCAGCCUGGGAAUAUUGCUUAAAUUCAUCAAAAGUUAGCUUAUAACAGUGAACCUUUUUUUGUGGGAUACAUAUAAGGAAAUUCUAGAUCUUGUGGUAUAUUUUGGUUAAACUAUCCCCAAUUCAAUGGAAUUGCAACCCUCUGCAUGCACAGUGCAUUCUUCCAUCACAUGUACAGCUGAUUCUCAAGAUCUGGUACAUUAAUGAGAUGCUAUUGAGCCCACACUACUACACUGUCUGAGUCAAGGACUACAUGCUUUCUGAAAAAUGCUAUGGGCACCAUCUGAUGUGCGAAGACAUUUCACUGCAGCUAAUGUAGAAGGAAAAGCUGUUGUAACACCCUGGCCAUAGAGAGGGGUUUUUGUUCUUUAUUUUGGUUAGGCCAGGGUGUGACAUGGGUGGGCGUUCUGUUUAUUUUUCUAUGUUGGUUUGGUUCGGCCGUGUGUGGCUCUCAAUCAGGAACAGCUGUAGUUCGUUGUUGCUGAUUGAGAGUCAUACAUAAGCAGCCUGUUUUUCCUUUGGGGAUUUGUGGGUGAUUAUUUUCUGUCUAGGUUUGUGUUAAUCCUGACAGGACUGUUUGGCUGUCGUUUCUUUUCGUGUUUUGUUUGUAGUGUUCAUUCGUUUAUUAAAAUACUUUAUGAUGAACACAUCCUCCGCUGCACCUUGGUCUCAUUGCGACGACGGUCAUUACAGCUGUGUACAUUUGCAAAUACUGGGCCAAAUCAUAUGUGAAGUAUGCAACAAAGAUGCAGAAUUAUCUGGCCAAGUGCAUAAAGUUCCCUCAGCGCUCACAACAAGCAACCUCUGACUAAAGUCCCUCUACUUCUAUUGGAGGUGAAAAUGAUGAAUCAGACACCUUAUCGAUAGUAACAGAUCACGGUCCUCCUGGAAUCAGAAGUUGUCAGAGUGUCACGAUUCUCUAAGACAAGAACCCAGAAGCAGACCAGGACAAGGUGAGUAAAAUGAAGGUGAGUAUUUAUUGGUAGUCUUGAUGGGUAUAUUGAGUGAUCCAGGAGACGGAGCGGCAGCGGAGGUGAGUUGAUGAGAGUGAAUAGGCAGAUCCAAUGACGUCACUGUAUCCACCGACGGCCAGGCAAGGGAGUUGAAU